rnacentral:rRNA from 1 species
CGAACGCUGGCGGCGUGCUUAACACAUGCAAGUCGAACGGCAAGGCCCUGCUUUUGUGGGGUGCUCGAGUGGCGAACGGGUGAGUAACACGUGAGUAACCUGCCCUUGACUUUGGGAUAACUUCAGGAAACUGGGGCUAAUACCGGAUAGGAGCUCCUGCUGCAUGGUGGGGGUUGGAAAGUUUCGGCGGUUGGGGAUGGACUCGCGGCUUAUCAGCUUGUUGGUGGGGUAGUGGCUUACCAAGGCUUUGACGGGUAGCCGGCCUGAGAGGGUGACCGGCCACGUUGGGACUGAGAUACGGCCCAGACUCCUACGGGAGGCAGCAGUGGGGAAUAUUGCACAAUGGGCGGAAGCCUGAUGCAGCAACGCCGCGUGCGGGAUGACGGCCUUCGGGUUGUAAACCGCUUUCGCCUGUGACGAAGCGUGAGUGACGGUAAUGGGUAAAGAAGCACCGGCUAACUACGUG